rnacentral:rRNA from 1 species
UACGGAGGGUGCAAGCGUUAUCCGGAUUCACUGGGUUUAAAGGGUGCGUAGGCGGGCAUUUAAGUCAGUGGUGAAAUACCUGAGCUUAACUUGGGAACUGCCAUUGAUACUAUUUGUCUUGAAUGUCGUGGAGGUUAGCGGAAUAUGUCAUGUAGCGGUGAAAUGCUUAGAUAUGACAUAGAACACCUAUUGUGAAGGCAGCUAACUACGCGAAUAUUGACGCUGAGGCACGAAAGCGUGGGGAUCAAACAGG